rnacentral:misc_RNA from 1 species
UUUUUUCCAUAACAUGUAGCACUUAGGGUCUUUGUCCAAUAUGACCCGUGUCCAAGUUGACCCCGUUCUCCCCUACAGGUAACGAAAAAAAGGAAAUUGACUUCUGAGUCAACAUACAUAUUCAAACAUUGUAUAUCACCAUCAAUGUUUUCCGAUAACAGUAGUGAUGAUGAAGUACUGUCUGAUGUAGUCGAAGCAAUGACCAUUGGGUCUCAAUACUUUUAAAAAUGGAAAAAGGGGAAGUCAUCACAGGACAGUUAUCAACAACCAUCGACUUCUUUAUUUGGUUACAAUACUGAACAACAGUCUGUUUUAAAACAUAAUAAUAAUGAAAAAAGAUCAAAAUGUCCUUCAAAGCUGUCACUGAAGCACAAACUAUAGAAAUACUGCACCACAAUUUUCGUCAUCUGAGUGCUAUGAGGAUACACAGUCAGACGAAUUGAAUUCCAAAAGCACUCUGAAUAAGGGGAAAAAAAGGAAAGAUCAAUCUGUCGCUAAACGUAAACAGUCUUCAUCAGUUCAUCUUCGGCCAUCUGAGAGACUUGAUUUUGGAAAAUGGAAAUUGCCGAACAAUUUUGGAGUCGUACUUAACAAGAUAUUGACGAAUAGAGGAAGUCUGAACGAGGCAAAUUUGUCUAUGGUAUAUCGACGCGUUGUCGACUCAAUUGAAGAAUUUUCGCUAUGCUCCUGUGGGAAUUUCUUAAGGAUGGUGGUUCAGCAAAUGUUUGCAACAAACCCUUCAAUACAGAUCAAUCCUAAAGACCCAGUAUCAUCUUCGCAAGCUUUAGUCGCAAAGCUUCAGAGAAUUUUAUCGAGACGAAGACAAGCUGCAGGCGAAACCCUUAGUACCAAUGGAGGAAGACCAUUC